rnacentral:lncRNA from 1 species
GGCUAGGGCAGCAGAUAAAAGUGGAUUUUAUGGCCUUCCAAUCAGAGGGAGCCGAAUUUCAUUCGAGCAGGUGGGAUGCGAUGUCUUUCAGUUUUCUCUUUUAAAACCGGGGGGAAGCACUUAGAUGUUGAGGCUAGUUCAUCAGGCUUUAGGAGGCUGUUUUAUUAGUCACUUACAGCCAACGUUUUCCCCUUUACAGAUGGUUUCCCUAUUGCAACAAAAAUCCCUGUCUUGGCUCAGUGCCACCCUGAGCCUUGGAAGGCCAGGUGGGAGGCAGGGAGCUGGCAGCAUCUCAGUCCAAGUCAGGAAUGAAAGAAUUCACAAAGGUGCCAGACUUAGAGAGUUAGUCACUUGGAACAUUCCAGAAAGGCUGUCUAUGACUGCUGGGUCUCAGAAGAUACCACCAGUGUGGGAAGAGUGACCCAAUAAGAGGACCCUCUCCACUCCUCCUGGAGCCCUAACUCUCCACUCUCUAAAUGGUGUCACCAGCCUGGUGACCUCCAUGCUCGUCCGUGCAGGUCUAGAUUGUGCACCCCCGAGGCUCCAGCAAUUAUGUCCCCCAGCACCCCCACAUGAUGGCCACCAUGAAGGGCAUGGUGAAGAGAGGCUGAGACCACAGCAGGAUGCUGGAUGUCAAGUGAGCGGCGAUUGCAAAUGAGGCCCUGUGAACGUGGAAGCCGGGCAAUCCAUGGUGAAGGCCGCUGCAGCUGGCAUGCAAGCUGUGUGUGAGUGACCUGGCCCAGAGGCAGCUGCAGCCCUGUGGGAUUUGCCUCACCCUGUUUAAUGUUCCCCUUCCUCGGCCAUAAUGGUGGACGGUGGGAAAAGCAGGUUUCAUGCUGAAAAAGAUCCAUUUUCGAAACCGGGCUCCUAUCUCAUAAGAUGCCUGAUAGUCUCCCCUCAUCUGUAGACUAAGGAUAGCCUGGGGUAUCUGCAGCGCAGUCCACUGGUCUGGGACAGCAGCAUGAGAAGAAAGCACGUGCAGUUCCAGGCACUGGGGGUGCACCAUGCAGCACCCGGCUAUCCUUAAAGAUGAUCAUGGCACGUGCAUCCCAGGCACGCUGAUGUAGGCAGGUAUCAACGCCAUGUCAGGUUUGUCUUGGUCUUCAAAGAAAGCAGAAAAACAAAGUUUCAGAAACUCAGCCAGAGUUUCACCGGUGAGAUGCUGUCCCCUAGUUGGAAAAACACAUGGCAGCAGUCACGGAAUUAGCUACUAUUUAUCGGGCAGGUGCUCCGUGUUUCACUUGCAUCUUAAGGUAGUGCUUUUUUUCCCCACACGGACAGGUGCAAGAAUGGAGGCGCAGGGAGCUAAGUGCCUGCCCCAAGCUCACACAGCAACAGUUAUACUGGGAAUUUGAAUCCAGAUCAUCAUAGCCGAUAGUCAGAUUUUUUUUUUAAGAUUUAUUUAUUAUUCGAAAGUCAGA